AAUAUUGGACAAUGGGCGCAAGCCUGAUCCAGCAAUGCCGCGUGAGUGAUGAAGGCCUUAGGGUUGUAAAGCUCUUUCGGCGGGGACGAUGAUGACGGUACCCGCAGAAGAAGCCCCGGCUAACUUCGUGCCAGCAGCCGCGGUAAUACGAAGGGGGCAAGCGUUGUUCGGAAUUACUGGGCGUAAAGGGCGCGCAGGCGGUCCUUCAAGUCAGGCGUGGAAGCCCCGGGCUCAACCUGGGAAUUGCGCUUGAGACUGGGGGACUCGAGGACGGGAGAGGAGAGUGGAAUUCCCAGUGUAGAGGUGAAAUUCGUAGAUAUUGGGAAGAACACCGAUGGCGAAGGCAGCUCUCUGGACCGUUUCUGACGCUGAGGCGCGAAAGCGUGGGGAGCAAACAGG
rnacentral:rRNA from 1 species